UACGUAGGGGGCAAGCGUUGUCCGGAAUCAUUGGGCGUAAAGCGCGUGUAGGCGGGUCGGUAAGUCCGCUCUGAAAGCCCGGGGCUCAACCCCGGGAGGCGGGUGGAUACUGUCGACCUCGAGUCCGGAAGAGGCGAGUGGAAUUCCUGGUGUAGCAGUGAAAUGCGCAGAUAUCAGGAGGAACACCGGUGGCGAAGGCGGAUCUCUGGGCCGUAACUGACGCUGAGGAGCGAAAGCAUGGGGAGCGAACAGG
rnacentral:rRNA from 1 species